CCCGAAUCUAUAUAUAUUUAUGCUUAGUAUACAUUAAGUCAUCAUAAGGGUACCAGGUAUGGAUCAGGUCAUAGGACACAGAGUCAAUGCACAACUUUUCUAGUACAAAACUUUCGUUUCAAAAUCAGUACUUUUGAUAUACAAAAGUAGUGAUUUCCCAGUUAAGGGCUUAAUCCAUUUUAUUAAGCCUGUACAGUUUUAAAGACUUUAAGUGAUUUAACCCUAUAAUACCUUAGUUUAUACACCAUGUUUAUAUAUAAGACUAAUAUCCGACAGCUAAUAGGAUGUGUGCUCUUCGUUGUACGCCCUGUUCCCGUUGGAUGUGGGUUUACACCGAGGUCACCCAAUCUAUUAUCUACCCAAUACCAAAUUAUAUAUAGCAGUAUAAACAACGCUAUUAUAAAAGUAAUCACCAUAGUCAAUAUUUUAUUAUAAGAAAUAUAGGUUUUCUUAAAAGGAACUCUCCAUUAGACAUAAAGGAACCAUUACAAAUAACUCCAUGAGUAACAAGUGAAUACCCCAAGGUUAUAUAUGACAACGAUCUAACAACCAAUGGAAUAUGUGUUAUCCGCCUUACUUACUGUACCCCAUCGGGUUGUAGGUUGAGGGCAGAUGCGCAUAAUCGAUUGUUUGUUUACUCCAAGUAUAUAUAACUUGUACCCACUUAUUACGCAUAGAAAGGCUUGUAGUGUCAUUUUACUCAACUCCCAUUUUAAGUAGGAAAUAUAGGAUUUCCUAGAGGAAGAGACAAACUUUACAAAACAACACCUUACAGCUUACAACACUUUACAUAUACAUUUUAAACAACAUUUUUAUAGCUUACUCACAUCACUAAAAUCUUAUGAACUCACCAGCUUAAUUGCUGAUCAACUCUUUCAAAUAACUUGUAUUCUCAGGAGACUAUUAGAACAGGUGCUCGUGCUGGGACUUCUGAAGAUGGAGCAUUGUAGCUUCAAGUUUUGUUUUGUUAUUUGUUUAUGACUUCUUUGUUUUGUAAACACAUACAUUGUAAACACUUUCUUUCUAAAUGAAAUGGUUGUUUAUUACUUGCUUACCAUAUACAUAUCUCGUGAUACUUGACAUGACGUCCUCCACCCCCAAACGUUUCCGCCGUUCCGGUUUUGGGGUGUGACAGAUUGGUAUCAGAGCAUUGUUUAUAGUGAACUUAGUAUAUCAACCGAUAAAAGAUAUACGUCUAUAAAUACAAUGGGGCUUAAGUGCUCUGGAUAAUGAUAUAUUUUAGAGUAUAACUUCAAGUUAUAAAAAUACACCUACUUGCUCAUACAUGUACAUAAUAGAACUAGGAUCACGAGGAGAACAUAACUAAAAUUAUUUAGAGGUUGGACACUUUCGUCAACCUGAACAGUUAUGUAAUCAUAGCUAGGAUCAAUAUAGGCUGAUCAACUAUAUUCAUUCGAGAUGUGACCAACAUGUGUUUGGGAAUGAUGUGGUGUUGCAACAGGGUUAAAACUUACCAGAACACCAGUCAAGAGAACGCCAGAACAAGUACAGUUAGAGUUAGAGUACUAUGGGAGUAUUCUAUGAUACGAUAGCGCGAUAACAAGUUUAGAACAUAACAAGUACAUUACGUUAGAAUACUAUAGGAGUAUUUUAGUCCAGAUACAUAACUUAUGUGAUAACUUAAAAGACCCUUGCGGAUAGGUCUAUAAUCCUACAAGGUAUAUUCAUAAAGUUUUAUAUAUAAUCAAGACCAUAUAGACAUAAAAUCUGUGACCGAAGCUUCGCUAUCCAUUCCUUUUAAGGAAGUAGUGUUGAGGUGGGAUCAAUUGUUCGAAGGUCUAUUUGAUCUUCAAUUAUAUACAAUACCAACUGGUAUACCUAGUAUAAUUAUAGGAAGAUUCCGUAAGGAUCACCCCAUAAAGUUACCUUAAAGCUCAUAGGUUCUUUAGUCACUUUCAUUCUCGCACGACAAGCCCAGAUAAACGUAACCUCUUCCUCAUAGUAGUCAACAGAAGAGUUCAUGAGGAACAAGGACAAACCAAUAAGAAGAUUUCAAGGAAAGAUCAGCCAAAGUAACCAAAAACGUCUUACGCGUCACACUAAUAAAUAGAAAUUAGGAUAAUUUAUCGAGCGAGUGGAAACACUGCUCACAUUACAUGUGUUAGAAUUAUUUUUCUUACAUGGAGCUGGUAACAGUUAUUCAGGAAAUAGAUAUUCAUUCGGGGAUAGUUAUUUCAAAUUCAUAGAGUUUAUUAGGUAUAGACUCGUUUAUGAAUUGUUCCUAGAACCCUGUGGAAGUCAGGGCCCGAUACAUCCAGAACUAGGAUAACCUUGUCUUUUCAGAUUUUGGCUUGUGUCCGUUGCUAUAGACUUAUUCCGUCUCAUCUUUGAUUUCUUUUAGCAAAGAUGCCUCCUCGUAGAUCACCCAGACAUGCUACUCUGAUAACUCCCAUACCUUCUCCACAAAUCGAUGCAGCAACUCUGAACGAUGCAGUGGCCGCGGCUGUGGCAACAGCCAUGGCACAAUAUCACCCCAUCAGUACAAGUGGUGGUGAAACGGCUACAGAUUCUACUCAAGGUGAGGUCCCGGUGCGCCAGGGAGAGUUCUCCUACAAGGACAUCACCAGAUGUCAACCACUGUCCUUUAAAGGGACUGAAGGAGUCAUUGCCCUUCUGCAAUGGUUCGAGAAAACAGAGUCGGUCUUCGAGAUCUGUUUAUGCCCCCAAGGAAGCAAAGUGAAGUUUGCUGCCUGCACCUUCGAUGGCAUGGCCUUAACAUGGUGGAACAGCCAUGUUAAGUCACUGACCCUACCAGUGGCAAACUCCAUAGGUUGGGAAAACCUAAAGGAGUUAAUGUGGGAAGAAUAUUGCCCGUUAGGCGAGAUUCAAAUACUGGAACAAGAGUUGUGGGAUCUCACUAUGGUCGGCUCAGAGAUAGUGACCUACACGGACUGGUUCAGCGAACUAGCAACUCUAUGUCCUGAGAUGAUUACCUCUAAAAAGAUGAAGAUAGAGAGAUACAUUUGGGGUCUGACUGCUCCAACCCAAGGAAAUGUGUUAUCUUCUAACCCAGCCACAUUCGAUAGUGCUAAACGCUUGGCUCAGCGACUCAUCGAUCAUGGAGUCCGCCACAGCGUAAAAGUCCCUAUUCCCGAGUCAUCAAGGGAAGAGGACUAUAAUCAAGAGUCGGAGAACAAGAGAAAGAAGAAGCGAACAACACAAGACAUCCCACAAGAGCAACAAGCGAGCACUAUGUACGCCGCUACGACGCCUACUGCUUCAGCAUCUGCCAGUCGUUAUGCUGGAAACCUUCCAAAGUGUGGAAAGUGCAACUUUCACCACACUGGAGUGUGCCGAGAAAUGCAGUGUCUGAACUGCCACAGAAAAGNUGCAGGGCACCGGCUCAACCGAUCUCCCAAGUCCUCGGAGCUGAAGAAAACCGAGCCUGUUAUGGCUGUUGUGAGAAUGGACACAUUAAGAGGGACUGCCCAAUCAUCAAGAACUCAGGCACGGAUAGACGUAUUCUAAUGAUCACCGCAGGAGAAUCUACCUCAGAGUCGUCGUCGAGUAGUGGUACAUUUUCAAAAUAGUACUUACUUGUAAAAAUUAAUUUAUAUUCAUAUAAGAUUAAAAUUUGGGGAUGACACUUAAAAGUAACUAUAACAACUCACAUGUUGAAAUAGGUCGUAAUAUUCAAGAGAAUUAAAAGAUCCCUUAGAGAAGCUAUUAUGACUCACCAUAUACAUCAGGGUUGUGCGCAACUGAGAUGUUGCAGACCUAGAGUGAGCGACUCCGCUUAGGUCCCCUUUCCUUAAUUGGUUGAGGAUUUGAGGCAGAGAUGCUCAGUCGACUGCCUGAAUCAUCUUAAGUAUUCCCAACUUGUAUAUGACGGGCGAUGGUAGUGGUACCAUGGGGGAUCAUAAUAUAAAAGUAUCCUUUCAGUUAGUAAAGCACUUUUAUUUUAUGUAUGCGCACAUAGCGGUACGAUACAUAGGAGUGUUAAUUUCAAAAUAGGAAACUCGAGAUCAUUUACAAGGAGUACAUUGUUGAACAUACUAGGAGUACAGUACCAAGCAUGCCAGGGAUACAUCGUCGUUUAUCAGACGUUUCUUUCAUUUGACCAAAACUUUUUUUUCGGAAUAGAGUCCGUUGUUUUUCUUUCGUCAUGAGUUGGCGUGGUCCUCACCAUACUGAAGCCAUAUGUUUCAAUUGCCUCGAUCAACAGGUUCUCGAAACUUUCGUCAUUCAUAUCGAAGGUCCGACCUAAACCUAAACUUUAUCUUUCGCAUCCUCAACCCCUGAAGUACUCGUGUGAAGAGUACUUGUCCUCUGAAGCCUUAUCGUCAGACGUCCGCAGAUCGUCACGACAUACCACUCGUCCAACAGACCAAGUUCUAGCACAGAGGCUAAGGAAAAAUACAGCCCACCUAUUAUUAUUUAGUGUAUACGCGAGGGUGGUAUAUGAGUAUGACUACGCAGAUCUAGUAUGUGUGUUUCCACCCUAUCUCCUGUUCUCCGUUGAGUUGUGGACCUAGAACGGAGUAGCACAUCCGAUAGUCCUACUAAUCCUAAUUAUAUACGGCUUGUAUACACGAGGUAAUGAUUGAUGGACCAAGUAUGAAUCCUAUCAAGAACACUAGGGCAAGUUGCCAUGCCUACGAGUGAGUAUUCCGCAAAUCAGAGGAGCGCAACCCCAGUAGUAAAGCUAAGAGAGCUAAUUUCGGGACGAAAUUCAUUCUAAUGGGGGGAUGAUGUGACAACCCAAAAAUUUCCACUUCAAUAGAAGCCAAGUCUGUUUCUGCUAACUUUCAAACUUUUGGGACAAGUUUGAGCAACUCAGGAUUUACACUUAAGGAGAUAUCAGGAGAGAGGUUGCACUUGGGUCUUGUGCAACUCUGUUAUUCCAAAACUCUAUGAUAUUAGAGUUCUUUCCGGGAAUAAAAUAUUUUCUGCCAAAAAUCCCAGGACUAUAUAUAGAAUUCUGAACCAAAUUAUUCAUUAGUUACAAUUCCAACUAGAGAAAAGCCAAAUUCUCUCUCAAGGAUCUUCGGACUUUUGUUCCGGAAAGUGAGUACUUCUAUCUAGUGUUGUUUUAAAGCUUUAUAUACGCUUAAUCCACUAGAAAUCAUACGAAAACACCAAGAUCUAUGAGUUUACCGCCCAAGAACACCUUGGGGAGUAAACUCCAUUUUAAGGGCCAACGUGUGCCCAAUGACCCCUAGACCUUGGAAACCAAACAUGGGACAAACCUUGACAUGUUUAGGCAUCAAAAUCAUUUAAAAUCAAGGACCAAAAGUGAGUUCACGGCCAAGGAAGUUCUUGGCCGUGAACUCCAUUUUAGGGUGCCAAAAUGCCCUAAAUGCCUUCCACAAGCCAAGGGACUAGCAUAGCCCUUUACCAUGGAGUGUCUACGACCCAAAACAAUCAAAAUAUCAUCACCAAUAAGUGUUUACGGCCGCAAACACAUGACCAAAUGGUCCAUGGGCCGUAAACUCAAGAUAGAGGUGUUUUGAUGCGACAAACACUUCUAAGGGAUUAGGCAUGAAUUUAGAAUGCUUCUUUAUGACCUUUAGGAUCCUCAUAAACAUAUUUGGCCAUGAGUUUACGGUAGUAAACUCAUUUGGGCCGUGAACACCUCAAAAACGGCAAAGAAAGUGGUAUUUCUCACCCUAGGCUAGAGCUAAUGUUCCUAAAUAAUUCCCUAGACUUCAAAUUAUCAAUAACCCAUGAGUAACCAUGAGUUUACGGCCGUAAACUCCCUUGGGCCAUGAGCUCAUGGUAGUAAACUCAUAUAAGUGCCUUUAUACCCUCCUAGGUUGAAUCACAUAUGAUUCCAACACUUGAUUAAGGUGUUUCCUAGUCCCGGAAGGUGUUUCCUCGUCCCGGAAGGUGUUUCCUUUCAUAUAGUUGUUUAUAAACACUAUACAUGUCAUUAUGUGUCCUUAAAUAUCAUUUAGGACUUAUUGUGUCUCGGAACUUCAUUCGUGGAACUUCUCAUCCGUACGCGCAUACCCGUUUGAAUCACCCACAUCAAGUGAGUUCAUACCCCGUAAUGAAUCUUUUAACUAUUUUAAUUGUUUUAAGGGGGGGGGAUACAAGUUGAACACAAUGAUAAUUAUGUAAAUGGUUGUUAUAAACAUCUUUCAAAAUGUUACUUAUGUUAUUUAUAAGUUGUUAAAACAUUUCAAAACUCUUUUAAAGGUUAUGUUACUUUAUAGUUAUACAAAACUCCAUUUUUAAAGUAUAAGCAUAACUUGUUAGAUAAAUGAGUCUUUUCAGUAACAGUCCAGUUAGAGUAUUAGUAAACUAUUAUAGGUAUAGUUUAAGAGAAUACUAAUCAUUACUUCUAGUACAAUGAAGCAAACACAGAACAGAACAUAACAUAAUAAGGUGCUAUAGCGUGAAACAAUUUUUAUAGUUAUACAAAACUCCAUUUUUAAAGUAUAAGCAUAACUUGUUAGAUAAAUGAGUCUUUUCAGUAACAGUCCAGUUAGAGUAUUAGUAAACUAUUAUAGGUAUAGUUUAAGAGAAUACUAAUCAUUACUUCUAGUACAAUGAAGCAAACACAGAACAGAACAUAACAUAAUAAGGUGCUAUAGCGUGAAACAAUUUCAGGAUCUAACUAUACCAAUGAAUCACAACACAUUGUGGUAGUUAUAUUGGGUAUACGUGAUCACAUAACUUUAAUGUGGAUAACGUGGCCUAGUAACUCGUUGCGAGAUCAACCUUGAUUCCCAGAAUCUCUCGUAGGGAGAACGUUUAGUAUGGGAAUUUCUUAUCACAUUAUGACCUUAAUAAAACACAUAUGUUUUUAGGUUGAUAGUACCUCCGUAUGUCAGUAUAAACAACAUUAGGGUACUCAUUUCUCCUGUUACUUUCAUAAAGAGUCGGUAACACUUGAAGGUUGAUCUAUUCUCUAAUCGAGAUAGGUUAUAAACUAGGAGAAUGUACUUUUCAGUUGACAAGGGAACAGUAGAGUCUUGGUAGAAGACUGCUUUCAUAACUAUAGAGUCUUGGUAGAAGACUACUUUCAUAACAGUAGAGUCUUGGUAGAAGACUGCUUUCAAACAAUCGAGUCUCGGUAGAAGGCUACUUUAAAAGUUAGGACCAUGAUGCUAGCUUUAUGAUUCCUUAAAGUAUACACUAUAGACUACGUAUAUGCUAAGUAGAUUCCGACUUCUAAUAGAAUGGGUGUUCUUCGCUGUACGUCUUGUUCCCGUUGGAUGUGGGUUUACACCGAGGUCACCCAAUCUAUUAUCUACCUGAAUCUAUAUAUAUUUAUGCUUAGUAUACAUUAAGUCAUCAUAAGGGUACCAGGUAUGGAUCAGGUCAUAGGACACAGAGUCAAUGCACAAUUUUUCUAGUACAAAACUUUCGUUUCAAAGUCAGUACUUUUGGAUAUACAAAACUAGUGAUUUCCCAGUUAAGGGCUUAAUCCAUUUUAUUAAGCCAAUACAGUUUUAAAGACUUUAAGUGAGUUAACUCUAUAAUACCUUAGUUUAUACAUCAUGUUUAUAUAUAAGACUAAUAUCCGACAGCUAAUAGGAUGUGUGUUCUUCGUUGUAUGUCCUGUUCCCGUUGGAUGUGGGUUUACACCAAGGUCACCCAAUCUAUUAUCUACCCGAUACCAAAUUGUAUAUAGCAGUAUAAACAAAGCUAUUAUAAAGUAAUCACCACAGUCAAUAUUUUAUUAUAAGAAAUAUAGGUUUUCUUAAAAGGAACUCUCCAUUAGACAUAAAGGAACCAUUACAAAUAACUCCAUGAGUAACAAGUGAAUACCCCAAGGUUAUAUAUGACAACGAUCUUACAACCAAUGGAAUAUGUGUUAUCCGCCUUACUUACUAUACCCCAUCG
rnacentral:lncRNA from 1 species